rnacentral:lncRNA from 1 species
AAAAAGAUAAAGGGUGUUGAACUUACAAACCAACCGGCCAUAAUGUAAUUUCUAUUAUUUCCUUUUCCACCCAUAAUCUGCAUUGCUGAUCCAGUUAACUGAUCUUGUCCCGUUAGUUUUGGCUCAUACACAUUUAGUACUGCUCUACAACCAUAGGCUUCUUGACUUAGUCUCACUACUGCCCACUAAAUUAAAAAAACAAAAAAGAUCACAAAAAGGAAUUAAAAC